rnacentral:rRNA from 1 species
CGGGUGGCUGCAGUGAGGAAUAUUGGUCAAUGGGCGCGAGCCCGAACCAGCCAAGUAGCGUGAAGGAUGACUGCCCUACGGGUUGUAAACUUCUUUUAUAAAGGAAUAAAGUGAGGCACGUGUGCCUUUUUGUAUGUACUUUAUGAAUAAGGAUCGGCUAACUCCGUGCCAGCAGCCGCGGUAAUACGGAGGAUCCGAGCGUUAUCCGGAUUUAUUGGGUUUAAAGGGAGCGUAGAUGGGUUGUUAAGUCAGUUGUGAAAGUUUGCGGCUCAACCGUAAAAUUGCAAUUGAUACUGGCAGUCUUGAGUACAGUUGAGGUAGGCGGAAUUCGUGGUGUAGCGGUGAAAUGCUUAGAUAUCACGAAGAACUCCGAUUGCGAAGGCAGCUUACUAAACUGCCACUGACAUUGAUGCUCGAAAGUGUGGGGAUCAAACAGGAUUAGAUACCCCGGUAGUC